ACGUAGGUGGCAAGCGUUGUCCGGAUUUAUUGGGUUUAAAGGGUGCGUAGGUGGUUUUAUAAGUCAGUGGUGAAAGCUGGUUGCUCAACAAUCAAGUUGCCAUUGAUACUGUUAGACUUGAGAGAAGUGGAGGUUCAUGGAAUGGAUGGUGUAGCGGUGAAAUGCAUAGAUAUCAUCCAGAACGUCGAUUGCGAAGGCAGUGGGCUGUACUUUUUCUGACACUGAGGCACGAAAGCGUGGGGAUCAAACAG
rnacentral:rRNA from 1 species